ensembl:lincRNA Lncenc1 long non-coding RNA, embryonic stem cells expressed 1
GGGACUUCCUGGUUGGAUGGAAGAAGAUAGGAAGCAGGAGAGAGUUAGGCCCUUUUUGGAAUGGAGACAGCAGAGAGCAGCUCGUCUGAGUUCAAGAGGGAAAGAUAUGGUGGCCAAGCAUGAGGUGCUCCACAAAGGCCGUGGGGGAUUUGAAGCACGAGAAGCCUGACCAGACUUGGAACUGAAGCACCUUAAGGACAAAAGAAAGACUUGCUGAGCUCGCUCACAGACCUUCUAGAGCAGCGCUGGGCUCAUGGAUCUGGAGAUUAUGGACAGAAGAUAAUGUAGAUGUUAUAACCAGGCCAGCGUCCUGUGGUAAAGGGUGUCUUUAGAUCACUGUUUCGUCGGUAUAGGUAAAUGACAUGAAGAACAUCUUUAUAGGCAGGGGAUGAGAAUCUGAGAUGAAGAAAAGAGGCUCCCCUGAUGGACCAUUCUAAGCUACUGUCAGAAGCAGGAUCCAUAGAACUUAAGGACAUGAUUGCAACAAUUAUCAGACAUUGGCCUCUUAGGUCAUGGUGAUCUUUUAGUAUUUUGGCUUUCUGCUGUCCUUUCAUAAAGGAACCUCAUUUUUAGCUUCUAUUGAAGAUAUAAAAUCAUCUCAUAGUAUUUUCUCAUUACUAGGAGCUGUAAAUCACUUCAAAGCUGUCUUUCUCCUUGAUCAUUUGCAUAUCAAAGUAUUUCUCUUGAGUACGGUGAUCUCUCCCCCUGUGGUUUGCUGUGUACCAGUUCUCUCUGGAUCCUAGGGCCUAGGGAAGUGUGGAUUCCAAGUGACUGGUGUUUUUCUACAGUAGAGCUUUUUUGUUGGCUCUUACCUGGGAGGACAAUGGGGAAGGGCCAGGGCCAUCCUGUUCUUUGCUGGGUGUGACCUUUCCUGCUCUGCUUCAGGGUUCCAUGCUGAAACCACCUUUAGCCAUCAUCGAGUGGGACUCCUUUUUACAUUUUGGUGAUUUCAAUAUUGUUUUUGUAUGGGUUUUGAGUUUCAGUCCUAAAUCUGUGUGGUGUGACAGAGGGAACCUCUACACAAAGGCCUGCCAAUCUGCAACCUCUUCAUGCUGCCACUGGUUAGAUCAACAGUUCACUCUAGACACUGAACCUUGCCUGCAUGCGUGCUAGUGUCACCACCAACAUCAGUAUCACUGUGCACCAGCAUCAGCAUCACUGUGCACCAGCAUCAGCAUCACUGUGUAUCAGCAUCAGCAUCACUGUGCACCAGCAUCAGCAUCACUGUGCACCAGCAUCAGCAUCACUGUGUAUCAGCAUCAGCAUCACUGUGCACCAGCAUCAGCAUCACUGUGCACCAGCAUCAGCAUGACUGUGUACCAGCAUCAGCAUCACUGUGCACCAGCAUCAGUAUCACUGUGUACCAGCAUCAGCAUCACUGUGCACCAGCAUCAGUAUCACUGUGCACAGCUCAAUCUCCAUACGUCAAUCGCCAGAUCGGUCCAAAAGUGUCUUGUCUGUGUGUAUUUUCUCCCACUUUACCACUCCACUCUGGCUUAAGCCUUCCCACCUGCUACUGUGUACUGUGUGGUUGCUGGCUUUGGGAACUCCCAAACUUUCCCUCUGUAUUUCAUGUUUCUGUUGGCCUGACAAGUAUCUCUUUCUAAAAAAGUACUAGUUUAUUUUAUGUGAAUGAAUGUUUUGUCUGUGUAGCUGGUAUGUGCUUGGUGCCCAUGAAUCCCAGAAGAGGGUAUUGGAUCCUCUGGAAGUGGAGUUAGUUACAGAUGCUUGUGAGCCUUCAUGUGGGUUCUGGGAAUUGAACCCAGGUCUUUCGGAUCCCAGUGAUUUUAAUGGUCGAGCUAUCUUUCCAGCUCCUUCAGGGCCUGAGAGAGGUCCUAGAACCCCUAAAUUCCCCAGUGACUCCCCUUUGUUAUUCUGAGAAGUUUCAGCUUCAACUUGCCAUUCUGGGAAACACAGGACCCUAUAAUCCACCUGCCUUCCGGGAUGAACACAUGGCUUCACCCCUGAAGGCAGUGCUUAAGGCACUGCAUGAUUCUCCACUUCCAAACGUGAUCUGUAUUUUCUGCCCACCUACCUCUUUGCUUAGUCAUUCACUGUAUUAUUCCCUAUUCUGUGCUGAGCACGAGUGUGCUCUCUCUCUCUGUCUCCUUUCUUUUUGCUUUUUUUUUCUCAUCUUUCUUUUUUUUUUGUCAGUUUUAUGUAUCUUUGAAAAUUUUAUUGAAUGUAACCUUUUUAAGAGUCUUGGAUGCAAUGUCCUUUCUUUGAGCCUUGAAAUCUGAAUCAUCUCUUUAGUGUAUUGUGGCAAAUGACGGUGUUUCUCUGUGUAUUCCUAGCUGUCCUGGAACUCUUUUUGUAGAUCAGGCUGGCCUCGAACUCACAGAGAUUUGCCUGCCUCUGCCUCUCAAGUGCUGGGAUCAACAGCAUGUGCUACCACUGUCCAGGUCUUGAUUUCUUGAUUUCUUGAUUUAAAAGAAUGAGUCUCUGCAUAAGGCUUGCCUAGGCCAUCAGCUACAAGCUUCACUGGACAGUGUACAGACAGCAUAGAGUUGGCUUCAUACUAGGGAUUGAGCAUCUAUUGGUGGAAUAAAUACAUCAAUAUGUGGAA